rnacentral:rRNA from 1 species
GAUGAACGCUGGCGGCGUGCCUAAUACAUGCAAGUCGAGCGAACAGACGAGGAGCUUGCUCCCCUGACGUUAGCGGCGGACGGGUGAGUAACACGUGGAUAACCUACCUAUAAGACUGGGAUAACUUCGGGAAACCGGAGCUAAUACCGGAUAAUAUAUUGAACCGCAUGGUUCAAUAGUGAAAGACGGUUUUGCUGUCACUUAUAGAUGGAUCCGCGCCGCAUUAGCUAGUUGGUAGGGUAACGGCUUACCAAGGCGACGAUGCGUAGCCGACCUGAGAGGGUGAUCGGCCACACUGGAACUGAGACACGGUCCAGACUCCUACGGGAGGCAGCAGUAGGGAAUCUUCCGCAAUGGGCGAAAGCUUGACGGAGCAACGCCGCGUGAGUGAUGAAGGUCUUCGGAUCGUAAAACUCUGUUAUUAGGGAAGAACAAAUGUGUAAGUAACUAUGCACGUCUUGACGGUAGCUAAUCAGAAAGCCACGGCUAACUACGUG